UAGAGUUUGAUCCUGGCUCAGAUUGAACGCUGGCGGCAUGCCUUACACAUGCAAGUCGAACGGCAGCACGGGUGCUUGCACCUGGUGGCGAGUGGCGAACGGGUGAGUAAUACAUCGGAACAUGUCCUGUAGUGGGGGAUAGCCCGGCGAAAGCCGGAUUAAUACCGCAUACGAUCUACGGAUGAAAGCGGGGGACCUUCGGGCCUCGCGCUAUAGGGUUGGCCGAUGGCUGAUUAGCUAGUUGGUGGGGUAAAGGCCUACCAAGGCGACGAUCAGUAGCUGGUCUGAGAGGACGACCAGCCACACUGGGACUGAGACACGGCCCAGACUCCUACGGGAGGCAGCAGUGGGGAAUUUUGGACAAUGGGCGAAAGCCUGAUCCAGCAAUGCCGCGUGUGUGAAGAAGGCCUUCGGGUUGUAAAGCACUUUUGUCCGGAAAGAAAUCCYUGGCUCUAAUACAGUCGGGGGAUGACGGUACCGGAAGAAUAAGCACCGGCUAACUACGUGCCAGCAGCCGCGGUAAUACGUAGGGUGCGAGCGUUAAUCGGAAUUACUGGGCGUAAAGCGUGCGCAGGCGGUCUGUUAAGACAGAUGUGAAAUCCCCGGGCUCAACCUGGGAACUGCAUUUGUGACUGGCAGGCUAGAGUAUGGCAGAGGGGGGUAGAAUUCCACGUGUAGCAGUGAAAUGCGUAGAGAUGUGGAGGAAUACCGAUGGCGAAGGCAGCCCCCUGGGCCAAUACUGACGCUCAUGCACGAAAGCGUGGGGAGCAAACAGGAUUAGAUACCCUGGUAGUCCACGCCCUAAACGAUGUCAACUAGUUGUUGGGGAUUCAUUUCCUUAGUAACGUAGCUAACGCGUGAAGUUGACCGCCUGGGGAGUACGGUCGCAAGAUUAAAACUCAAAGGAAUUGACGGGGACCCGCACAAGCGGUGGAUGAUGUGGAUUAAUUCGAUGCAACGCGAAAAACCUUACCUACCCUUGACAUGGUCGGAAUCCUGAAGAGAUUCGGGAGUGCUCGAAAGAGAACCGGCGCACAGGUGCUGCAUGGCUGUCGUCAGCUCGUGUCGUGUCAGCUCGUGUCGUGAGAUGUUGGGUUAAGUCCCGCAACGAGCGCAACCCUUGUCCUUAGUUGCUACGCAAGAGCACUCUAAGGAGACUGCCGGUGACAAACCGGAGGAAGGUGGGGAUGACGUCAAGUCCUCAUGGCCCUUAUGGGUAGGGCUUCACACGUCAUACAAUGGUCGGAACAGAGGGUUGCCAACCCGCGAGGGGGAGCUAAUCCCAGAAAACCGAUCGUAGUCCGGAUUGCACUCUGCAACUCGAGUGCAUGAAGCUGGAAUCGCUAGUAAUCGCGGAUCAGCAUGCCGCGGUGAAUACGUUCCCGGGUCUUGUACACACCGCCCGUCACACCAUGGGAGUGGGUUUUACCAGAAGUGGCUAGUCUAACCGCAAGGAGGACGGUCACCACGGUAGGAUUCAUGACUGGGGUGAAGUCGUAACAAGGUAGCCGUAUCGGAAGGUGCGGCUGGAUCACCUCCUUA
rnacentral:rRNA from 1 species